AUAGCAUGCGAAUCCUGUGGGUGAGAAGCUGCGUUCAGGUUCGACAAAAUUGCUUGUCAAUUUUGAACAGCGCUUGCGCUGGCCCGCAGGGUGAGGCCAAAGGCCGAGUCAUCCCGCACGACCCACCA
rnacentral:sRNA from 1 species